GUGGGGAAUUUUGGACAAUGGGCGCAAGCCUGAUCCAGCCAUUCCGCGUGCAGGAUGAAGGCCUUCGGGUUGUAAACUGCUUUUGUACGGAACGAAAAGGUUCUCUCUAAUACAGGGGGCUGAUGACGGUAACGUAAGAAUAAGCACCGGCUAACUACUUGCCAGCAGCCGCGGUAAUACGUAGGGUGCAAGCGUUAAUCGGAAUUACUGGGCGUAAAGCGUGCGCAGCCGGUGAUGUAAGACAGAUGUGAAAUCCACGGGCUCAACCUGGGAACUGCCUUUGUGACUGCAUUGCUGGAGUGCGGCAGAGGGGGAUGGAAUUCCGCGUGUAGCAGUGAAAUGCGUAGAUAUGCGGAGGAACACCGAUGGCGAAGGCAAUCCCCUGGGCCUGCACUGACGCUCAUGCACGAAAGCGUGGGGAGCAAACAGGAUUAGAUACCCCUGUAGUCC
rnacentral:rRNA from 1 species